UGGGGAAUAUUGGACAAUGGGCGCAAGCCUGAUCCAGCCAUGCCGCGUGAGUGAUGAAGGCCCUAGGGUUGUAAAGCUCUUUCACCGGUGAAGAUAAUGACGGUAACCGGAGAAGAAGCCCCGGCUAACUUCGUGCCAGCAGCCGCGGUAAUACGAAGGGGGCUAGCGUUGUUCGGAUUUACUGGGCGUAAAGCGCACGUAGGCGGACUUUUAAGUCAGGGGUGAAAUCCCGGGGCUCAACCCCGGAACUGCCUUUGAUACUGGAAGUCUGGAGUAUGGUAGAGGUGGGUGGAAUUCCGAGUGUAGAGGUGAAAUUCGUAGAUAUUCGGAGGAACACCAGUGGCGAAGGCGGCUCACUGGACCAUUACUGACGCUGAGGUGCGAAGGCGUGGGGAGCAAACAGG
rnacentral:rRNA from 1 species